AAAGGAAUUGACGGGGACCCGCACAACCAGUGGAGCGUGUGGUUCAAUUCGAGACAAAGCGAAGCACCUAACCAGGGUUUGACAUGCUAUCGUUUUAACCAGCUAGAAACAGCAGGCUAUCCGCAAGGAUGGUAGCACAGCUGCUGCAUGGCUGUCGUCAGCUCGUGUCGUGAGAUGUACCCUUAAGUGGGAUAACGAGCGCAACCCCUAUCUGAUGUUACAAGUGUCAUCAGAGACUGCCUCAGUAAUAACUGGGGAGGAAGGAGGGGACGACGUCAAGUCAGCACGGCGCUUAUGCCCUGGGUCACACACACCCUACAAUGGCGAAAAACAAUGAGAAGCGAGGCGGUAACGCCAAGCUAAUCUCCUGUAAAUUUCGCCUCAGUUCAGAUUGAGGGCUGCAACCCGCCCUCAUGAAGCCGGAAUUGGUAGUAAUCGCAGAUCAGCAGGCUGCGGUGAAUACGUUCUCGGGUCUUGUACACACCGCCCGU
rnacentral:rRNA from 1 species